CUUACAAAGUGGUGACCCAGCCUCCAUGAUCUCCCUACUUAGGCGAAUGACAUCUUUCCAGUGCGAAUUUCAGAUUGAUUCUCAUUGAAGAUAUGAGGUUUGAGCUUCUUCUUCCCUGUCUACAACUGCUGUAGUUGACCACUGCAAUUCAAUGGAGGACAGAUACCAGGAAGGAGCCUGGUCCCAUCUGCAUCAGGCCAGGACAGCAGAAUUGUUACAACAUAACCAGAAAUGCGGGAAAUGGAUGCGAAGACACUUGAAGGGGCCAUUCAGACCUCACAGGAGGGCAUUACUACACAAAUAUCUACAUGGCCUCCCGGAUUAGAACCGGAACAAAAUUUUUGCAACACAGAUUGCUAUAGAUUAGACUCCAUCCAUCUCCCAGACAUGAACACAGAACACACACCUCCACCAUUGCAUCACCUCAUUUAGACUAUCCAGUCUGUACACUAGACACAGAAGACAAUGAUGGUUUAGAUUACAAACGUGGUACUCCACUAAAGAUCUAUUGUCCAUUUUCACAUUGACAGAACCACAUAGCCUCACACACACACGACAAUAGAAUUAAUCCCAUGCUAAAAGAGACACACAACAUAUAUACUAUUUGCAACUGUCUGCAAACUCAUGGAACAACACUGUAACACACAUUUGCAUGAAUAGUCACAGAUCGAUGGCAUAAAUUUU